rnacentral:lncRNA from 1 species
AGGGAAAUACAUAUAGAUAGAUAGAUGUGUUUUUUGUGUCUUAAGCCUAAUAAAAACCUCAUUAAAAGUAUAGCAAGCAAUGCUAAGAAUUUUUACUAAAAACUGAAGAGGCACCUCAUUUGCAUGAAGCAUGACGUGAGUUAUCUCUUAGGGUACUCUAUUCAUCCUUUCUACCACUCCAUUUUGUUGAGGAGUUCUAAAUGUAGAGAACUUGUGCUUUAUCCAGGUACUCUUUCACAGAAAGAAUCAAUAUCUAUGUUAUCAAAUAC